GGAGCCAUGGAACAGUGGCAGGGCAUCUGUUUUGCAUGCAGAAGUUCCCAAGUUCAAUUCUUGGCGCCUCUA
rnacentral:tRNA from 1 species